rnacentral:rRNA from 1 species
CUGAUGUUAGCGGCGGACGGGUGAGUAACACGUGGGUAACCUACCUAUAAGACUGGGAUAACUCCGGGAAACCGGGGCUAAUACCGGAUAAUAUUUUGAACCGCAUGGUUCGAUAGUGAAAGACGGUUUCGGCUGUCACUUAUAGAUGGACCCGCGCCGUAUUAGCUAGUUGGUAAGGUAACGGCUUACCAAGGCGACGAUACGUAGCCGACCUGAGAGGGUGAUCGGCCACACUGGAACUGAGACACGGUCCAGACUCCUACGGGAGGCAGCAGCC